rnacentral:rRNA from 1 species
ACGCACGCUGGCGGCGUGCCUAAUCCAUGCAAGUUGAGCGCUGAAGGUUGGUACUUGUACCAACUGGAUGAGCAGCGAACGGGUGAGUAACGCGUGGGGAAUCUGCCUUUGAGCGGGGGACAACAUUUGGAAACGAAUGCUAAUACCGCAUAAAAACUUUAAACACAAGUUUUAAGUUUGAAAGAUGCAAUUGCAUCACUCAAAGAUGAUCCCGCGUUGUAUUAGCUAGUUGGUGAGGUAAAGGCUCACCAAGGCGAUGAUACAUAGCCGACCUGAGAGGGUGAUCGGCCACAUUGGGACUGAGACACGGCCCAAACUCCUACGGGAGGCAGCAGUAGGGAAUCUUCGGCAAUGGACGAAAGUCUGACCGAGCAACGCCGCGUGAGUGAAGAAGGUUUUCGGAUCGUAAAACUCUGUUGGUAGAGAAGAACGUUGGUGAGAGUGGAAAGCUCAUCAAGUGACGGUAACUACCCAGAAAGGGACGGCUAACUACGUG